GCCUCCUCCCUCGGCCCGCUUCCACACCUGCGACGCGCUUCCCUCAUCGCAACCUUCCUGCGACCAAUCUUCUCCUCCAAUCACGCAAUCUCCUCUUCCAAUCCAAUCUUGGGGUCGUCGCUCGCGGAACCUCCCAGAAGGAAACAACGCCACACAGCAUCACGUUGAUUGCGGCGCCUGCUCCCUUCCUCGUGCGAUCUGUGGCCCUGCUCCCUUGAGCGGAGCGCACUGCAGAGCCGGUCACCGGCGAGGUGGUGCUAUGCGUCCACCCCACCCAGGAGGCGGAGCACUGCCGCUAGGAUGUCAUCGGCUACCUCAGGCGACUCCUUGGCUCCUCCCUCGGCUGCGAGGUGCGUCCGUACCCGCUGCUGUGAUCUGUCUCCCCCUAAUCCCCAUGGAAGCACCCCAGGAAGCCCCACCAGGCCCCAAUCUAGACUUCCGUUGCCUUGAUCCCCAUCCACCUCUGUGGUUUCAUCACCAGCGAAACUACUUCACCUCCUCCAUCGAGGCAAGAUGGAUGCGACUGGUGGCAACACACAAUGGCACUGGAGGACCUGGUGCUCUAGGCUGGAUCCACGAAGGAGGUUGCCUUGUCGACCACAGCUAAGGCAAAGGCUGGAUCAGAUGAUGGUGUGUUGAGGACGACAAGAGAUGCCUCACUUAGAGGAGGACAUGGCAGCCAACGGCGCCGCAGGCGAGGAGUUCAACAAGGGCAAGCUUCCUCCAUGGCUUACUAAUCUACACAGUGUCACGAGAUAAUCAGAAGGUUGGGUCAGAAUCGCGAAGCUGCAGGCAAAAGCCAGCUGCGAAAGAAGGUGAUGGUGUGAGCAUCAGCGGUGACUUUUCCAAGUUCCUGGCAGUAAAUUUUUUUCAUUGCACAAAAAUAAUGGUGCAAGGCUUGGAAAACUUUACAAAAAUUGCACAAAAAUAAUAGUUCUCAGAUGUAUUAGCAUGUAUUAGUCUGUACAAAAAUAAUAGUUCUCAGAUGGUGCGAAGCUGCAGGCCAUUCAAUAGCUUGAGAGCUGUAAGCUCAAGCUUUCUCAGAUGAAAAAGGACAUGCAGCAACUCGCUCACAAUCUUUUUGUCAUCGGUCAUUGAACUUGUACCUUGUGAUUGAAAUUAUGUGAAAUGUUCUAGGAAGACUCUUUUCACUGAAAUUAUCUAAUUUGGUAUGUGUUUUCACUAGAAUGCAUGUGACUGAACUUAGCUUAUUUCCCUAGCUGUAAACUGAACAUCUUAUGUUUCUCCCUACUUUGUGCAUGAUGCUACCAUGGAGACUUCAUGAAGACUACUGUCAUGGCGAUUGAAUGAUCAUGGGCCUUCUUCUCAGUUACGGAUGAUGGUUGUCAGCGGCUAUCAUGGAGGCUGUUGCGAGGGUCUAUGUAUGAUGUAUGGCCUCUCUCUUACAUUGACAUAUUAAGAAUUAAAAUAGGGGGCAUGAUCCUAUAGAUGGA